rnacentral:rRNA from 1 species
AGGAUAAACGCUGGCGGCGUGCCUAAAACAUGCAAGUCGAACGGCUUACACUUUCGGGUGUAGGUAGUGGCGGACGGCUGAGUAACACGUGGGUGACCUGCCCCGGAGCGGGGGAUAACUGCCCGAAAGGGUGGCUAAUACCGCAGACAUCAUGGGUUCGUUCUCAUGAUUGAACCGAUUGAGGGUUCUGGGAGGGGCCCGCGGCCGAUUAGCUAGCUGGUGGGGUAACGGCCUACCAGGGCGUCGAUCGGUAGCUGGUCUGAGAGGAUGAUCAGCCAGACUGGGACUGCGAACGGCCCAGACUCCUACGGGAGGCAGCAGUUAGGAAUUUUGGGCAAUGGGCGAAAGCCUGACCCAGCAACGCCGCGUGGGUGAUGAAGGCCCUCGGGUCGUAAAGCCCUUUUCCCAGGGAAGAUGAUGACGGUACCUGGGGAAUCAGCCCCGGCUAACUACGUGCCAGCAGCCGCGGUAAUACGUAGGGGGCAAGCGUUGUCCGGAUUUAUUGGGCGUAAAGCGCUCGCAGGUGGUUUGUCGCGUCGUGCGUGAAAGACCCCGGCUCAACUGGGGAGGGUCGUGCGAUACGGGCGAACUGGAGGCCAGUAGGGGGAUGCGGAAUUCCGGGUGUAGUGGUGGAAUGCGUAGAGAUCCGGAGGAACACCAGCGGCGAAGGCGGCAUCCUGGACUGGUCCUGACACUCAGGAGCGAAAGCGUGGGGAGCGAUCCGGAUUAGAUACCCGGGUAGUCCACGCUGUAAACGAUGAGUACUAGGUGUCGGGGGUAUCGACCCCCUCGGUGCCGCAGCUAACGCGAUAAGUACUCCGC